rnacentral:rRNA from 1 species
AUGGCAGUGGCGAGUACCUCUUCGUGUCUCCACCUCCUCCCUCUCCUCCUCGUACUCCUACUCGCAGCCACCAGCGAGGCCACCACAUUCAAAAUCAUCAACCAAUGCUCCUACACCGUGUGGCCAGCCGCUCUGCCGGGAGGUGGCGUGAAGCUCGAUCCGGGGGAGACAUGGGCGCUGAACAUGCCCGCUGGUACCUCAACAGGGCGCAUCUGGCCGCGCACAGGCUGCUCACUCCUUGACGAAGGCGGGUCAUGCCAAACUGGUGACUGCAGCGGCUUGCUCGCAUGUACGGCCAGUGGUCGAUCGCCAAGCACGCUGGGCGAGUUCAGUCUUGGCCAAGGCCAAAGUGUUGAUGAUUUCUUCGACAUCUCGCUCAUUGAUGGCUUCAACGUGCCCAUGGACUUCCUGCCGGUGCCGAUUCAGGGAAGGUCAGGGUGCAGCAAGGGGCCGCGUUGUGCAGCCAACAUCACAUCGCAGUGCCCAAGAGAGCUGGAGGCUCCGGGAGGGUGUAGCAAUGCAUGUACUGGGAGCACGGCAAGCCGUUGCAACACAAGUUACUCGGCCUUCGUUAAGCAGAUGUGCCCAGAUGCCUACAGCAAGCCUGAUGAUACAUCCACUUACUCUUGCCCGUCGGGCACAAAGUACCAGGUCAUCUUCUGUCCC